rnacentral:rRNA from 1 species
UGGGGAAUAUUGGACAAUGGGGGAAACCCUGAUCCAGCAACGCCGCGUGAGUGAUGAAGGUCUUCGGAUUGUAAAGCUCUUUUGGCAGGGACGAUGAUGACGGUACCUGCAGAAUAAGCUCCGGCUAACUUCGUGCCAGCAGCCGCGGUAAUACGAAGGGAGCAAGCGUUGUUCGGAUUUACUGGGCGUAAAGGGUGCGUAGGCGGUUUGAUAAGUUGGAUGUGAAAGCCCUGGGCUUAACCCGGGAACUGCAUUCAAAACUAUCUCACUCGAGUAUGGAAGAGGUUGGUGGAAUUCCAAGUGUAGAGGUGAAAUUCGUAGAUAUUUGGAAGAACACCCGUGGCGAAGGCGGCCAACUGGUCCAUAACUGACGCUGAGGCACGAAAGCGUGGGGAGCAAA